AGAGCCUGGGACGGCGGUGGCGAGGGAGGUUGGACGCGCGCGGGAUACCGAUUCAGUUCAUCCUGCGGGCUGCGCGACCCAGAGUGCUGAUGAAGGAUGCCGGGAAGAAGCCGAAGGUAGAGCUUUCAGCAAGCUGCGGAACUGAAACUGGCAGCCUGCUGGAUCAUUAUUUACCCACACUUCACUCCUUAGCAUCCUGUUUUCACAGUGGCCAACCAGGUGCCUGUACAAACCCUGCAAGCUGGACCUGAGCUGAACAGAACAGCACUCUGUGCCCACUCACAGUUCCCGAUAACUAGUAUUGAGGCACAUAAUUUCCCUGAUAGUGGAGGUAGAACAUAGCCAUGGUGACAAGUGCCCAUUGAUAAGGGGCAGGGCAUUCGCCAUCAAGCAGCUCCGCUUUUCUUUCUUGCAGAAAUCUAAUGGAUGGAACAACGCUGAAAACAUGCAAAUAACCCCAUAAAAGACCCUGAUGUUGGGAAAGAUUGAGGGCACAAGGAGAAGGGGACGACAGAGGACGUGAUGGUUGGACAGUGUUCUUAAAGCUACCAGCAUGAGUUUGACUAAACUGUGGGAGGCAGUGGAAGACAGGAGUGCCUGGCGUGCUCUGGUCCAUGGGGUCAUGAAGAGUCAGACACGACUAAACGACUAAACAAAAACAUACCCUUAUUAUUUUUAUUCCGUCACACACACCGCGUUCAUAUCCUACUCUAGGGCUGGCAGCAGAGGCUGGUAUUGGUGAAUAGCUUAGGCACCAGUACUUUGGAAAGGUCCGCUGGUACCCACCCCUGACAAGCUGCCACCACCACUGUCAGGGGGAUCCCCAGAGAAGUGUGAAUCCUGCUUGGAUGUUGUGACAAGACAUGUCACAGUGGCAGCAGUAGCUCCUAACACCCAUGCAGGGAAGCAGGCAACUGUCCAAAGAAGUGGCUUUUCUGUCUGCAGUCAGUAGCAAUAGGAAAUAGGCUGGGCACUGCUGCUUAGAAGGAGUGAGCAGGCAAGGUGAGACUCAUCUUUGGGCAAGUGAUGGAGGUUAAGAGCAGCCAUUGCCUCCACUUCAUCACCGUCUCCCUCUGGGCAGCACAGAGGACGGGGCUUUGCUUCUAGCAUUUCUACUGUCAGGUAUCCUCAAGGAGCAGCUUCAUAGGGUCCCUCUGGGAAGGCUAGGCCUGUUUCACCCAGUUCCAGUGGCCAUGCCAUCUAGCACAAUGCUCCUCAACCUUGGGUCUCCAGGUGUUGGACUAGAAUUCCCAUCAUGUCCAGCCAGCUUGCCCAGUGGUCGGGGAUGAUGGGAACUGCAGUCUAACAACAUUUGGAGACCCAUUAUUGAAGAACACUCAGACAGAAAAAGUGAAGGUAGCACCAGAUGCUUCUUGCCUGCUCAGGUCAGCAAGCUGUGGAGGUAGUUGCAAGGAGCAGUACCUGCUGAUUUGGUCAUCUCCCUCUGGGUGGUGUGUUGGGAGGAUUAGACCUCUCCAGGGAAGCUAGGAGAAGUGUCCACCAGGGGAUUAUUGCUGAGAGCUUCCCAAACCAUGGAACCUGCUUUGCCUUGUCUUGUGCUUGGUCCCCUCUUCUUACCUUACCUAGUAUCCCUUUGUCUUCCCCUGCCUAGCAUAUUUACCAUCUCUCUUCCACUUGUCUCCCCAUGUGCUCUCCCUCUCCCCUCCUUUUCUUGUCCUUUUCUGUGACGCUGGGAGCAAGUCCGCCCAGGAGAGUCAUUUUCCAUGAAUCCUGGCCCCUGGUUGAGGUUUGUGUAACUCAGUGAUGAAGAAAAUAUAUGCUCAUCUUCAUAUCCUGCUGCAACAACAUGGAAUGUUCAUAAGCAUUACAGUGGCUAAGGGAACGAAACUGUGAGUUGUUCAUGUGAAAAAGAUCAUAGGCCCAAGGGGAAGGAAGUGUUGUGGAAGAGAUCCAAGGAGAGGAGGAUUCCAGGCAUAAGGAACCCAGACUUGGAGUUCAUUGAGGGAGUGCAGAGUAGCCUAGGGCUAUGAGUCAGAAACUGGAGGGAAGAGUAAGUAGAGGAGACAGUGGCCACUGAAAAGACAGGCAAGCAAAUUAACCUAGGUAUUGAAAGGAGAGAUUAAUAAGAAUGGGAAAUCUUGGGGCUUAAGAAAGGUGAGGAAAUGUAUUCUGUUGCCUGAAGUAUGAUGUGAGAUGGGGGCGGGGGGGAUGGGGAUGGGACAGAAGGGUUGAAAAAGCAUGGAGGAGGACUAUGAACCAAUGGCUGAUGCAAGCAGUCAUGACUGAUGUGAGACUGGGCCACGAGACAGGGAAUUGAGGGAAAGGAAUGGCCAGCAUGAAUCUGGAAAAAGGAGAGACAAAGGUCUGAUGCAAGAUUUCACAAAGGGCUUAAGAACUGGAGGGACUAAAUAUUAUUGGAAGGAAGGACAUGGACAAACAAGGAAGGUAUGGAGGCUCAGGAACUGUGGGGCCAUAUCAUUGCCAUGAAAACUCUUGUUAUGUUUGGGUUUUCCUGACAUUGGAAAGAGAUGACAUUGUGCAGUAGGGGUAAAAGCUAUUGUGAAUUUGUCCCGCGUUGGAAUUUGUUGGGAGCAAUGUGAUGGCGAUGGCAGAAACUUCAGAUUGGGUGGGGCUAUUAGGCAGUCACAAUUUUGUUGUUUUACUACACUGCUUUGACCUUUCAGCAAUAGCAGAAAACAAGUUUAUUCCGUGUUCCAUUUUGUCACUGUUCUCAUCAUCAUGUGGACAAAGCAUGUGGACAAGUUGCAUGGAGAAGCUGCAUGGCAGUUGUAUGGGUCAUAUUUGGGGAACAGUCUCUUCUGCAGCUGUUAAAAUGCCCUCUCUCACUUCUGGAUUCCUAGAUCCACUUUGAGGCUUGUUGGUUCAUUUGAAUUUGUAGCCUGCCGUUCACUGUAAGGUCUCAGGGCAGGUUAUGGACAUCUCCAGAACACAAUUUAAGUACCGGUAAUUAAAAAUAAGUUCAAAACAGUAUUUUAAAAGAGUUUAUAAAACAGAAGUGGGUACUCCAUAUCACUAAGCUGUAUCCAAAGGUUUGGGCAAAAAGGUGCAUCUUGACCUGUCAAUGGAAUUGUACAGUGACAGGGCCAGGUGCAUCUUGGACAAUAGAGCUGUUCAUUCACUGAGGGCCACCACCCAAAAGGCCCUUGCUUAUGCUGCCGCCCUUUAAACCUCAGAGGUUGGUGAUAGUACCAGGAGGACCCCACCUACAGAUCUUUACAACUGGGCAGGUCUAUGUGGUAGGACAGGGUCUUUCAGAUAUCUGGGUUAGACUCAAUACUCAUGUUGUUCCUGCAGUUUUUUUCUAGCGUAUACUGCUACCACGCUACCACAAGUAGCUCCAGACCACAUGGGAGGAGUUCGCAAUGUUGUUAUUCUGCAUUUCGGCAUCAUCCUUUGGGCUACUGGCAUGGGCUCCUCCUGAGUGGUCCUGGGUUUCUUGUGCUACCUGCAAGCACAGUAGGGAGCAGCACUGCUGUGAUUUCACACUCCUACUACAACAUAAAUAGUGUGCCUUAGAUCAGACUACAGCUCCCAUCAUCUCUCACCACUGGGCAUACUGGCUGGGCUGAUGGAGUCCAACAACAUCUAGAAGGCCACAAGUUCCCAAUCUCUGCUUUAAAUGGAUAAAUGACUCCUGGCUGACGUAGCUUGCAAGAAAAAGGCUAGAUAAAAAAAACAUGUUUGAAAAAUAGAUAUGUUGAAAAGGGUUAGACAGAAGUGUGGGGAAAUAGAGAUUAGUAGUGUGAGGUACCUUUAAUGCCUAAAAUGUAACUUUCCUCAAGAUAUCAGAUUAGAAAAGCAUAAUUUUGUAAAAAUAAGAACAAGGUUUGAGAAGCAAUACAAAGGACAGUGUGCAUCUUAUAACCGUACCUACCUACAUUCUUAGAUUUUCAAAUUAAAGACAGAUUUGAUUUUGAAUGGAAGGUCAUUUUUUAAAAUGAAUUUACAUUUUAUUCAAUCCAGCCAUUGGGAAUUGUUUAGUUGUACUACUCACCAGACAGUUUUCUUAAAUUCAGUGGAAGAAUAUGCGCUUAAUUUUUUAAAAUUUCUGAUUUCCUGUUGUUUUCUCUUUGAGAUGCCUAAUAAUGUUGCAGAUAAAUUCACUAUGCAAUCUAUAUUGGUUCAGUUCUAACUUAGUUGGCCUAAGCAGAAUAGCAUCUUCACAAAGACAUGAACUCUCCAAGGCAAUGUUUUCUGGCCUUUUCACUUUUUCUUGCUUGGUAGCCAAUAUCCUAAGAGAAAUAGCUGGAGCAUGUCAGCAAAUUUGUAAGGAUGACGCAAGCAAUGAAAAGAUCAUUUACUUACCCUCUAACACUGAUUAUGUUUUGUUAGGAACACACUUUUCAUAAUACAGUGUCCAGUUCUAGCAUUGCUAUGUCAUGUGGUGAGAUUAUUGCAGUUUUCACAGUAGGGAACAUUAGGAAGUUUACAAACAAGUGCUCCCUAAAUUGUGGGAGGCUUAUUUGUGUCAUUGAAUUAGAAACUGGAUUACCGAGGAAAUGAGACGGCUUUUUACAAGGCACAUACAGCUCUAUUCCCGCCUUUGUUCUUGUUUGUAUUAAUUCGUGUCUGCCUUCCCCUCUGUUGCUCCAAGCCCAGUAUUAACAUUAGUCAUGAUAAAUAAAAGAAAGGCACCCUGUUUCAUUGGAUAGCGAAUAGAUUUUUUUGCUCUGGCAGGUAUGUGCUAGCGAUUUUCAUAGAACUUACAAAAGAGAACAAAUUUGCUUGAGGCAAGUUAAGGGUGAAGGCAAUGUGGUUGAAAUAAACAAAGCAGCAGCAGCAAGGUUUAUUACGUGACUUCUCUGGCUACUGGGAAAUGCACAGGAAGGAAAAAACCCAAGAGCGACUGUUUAAAGUAUUUACAAGUGUGCCUGAAGCUAAGCUUGUAAGAACUGGAGGAUACACACGGGGGGGGGGGGGGAGUGUUCUGAAGAAAUGUACAAAGUGAGCUGGGAGGCAAAAUUUCGGGCUCUGUCAUGAUGGGUCAUACAGCAAGAUGAUGGCACCCAGUCAGAAAAGAUAGAAAAAGAAUAAAAUCAAUAAUAGGCACAAUACAGCGUGGAAUUUAUUAAAUGGAUAGGAAACUCAGCAUCUUUCAGCAUGAGGAAGGUUCCAAGUUAGAGGAGAAAAUCAGUUCAGAAGACUGGUUCAGGCAUAAUAACCUUGGACUUAUAAACCAUGGCUGAUCAUCAACCCAAGAACAAGCUAUAUAUAGUACCCCUGGGUAUUCUUUUCUCCCCCUGACCCCCUCCCCCUGAGGGGGUGAGAUCUGAGACCAUGACUUGUUUAAAUCACAUUUUUCUAUUACAUCCAAGCCAGGAAACUGCUUGAGUCCCAACUUAUGAACCAGGAUAUGAAUCUGGGAUUUGAUCUUUGUUUCAUAUCCUGAGUACAGUACUAAAAAGGGAUUGAGCCACAGUUUCCCAAUUUAGAUUUAAAGGUCAACCAUGGUUUAAACAAGCCACCGUCUCAGCACCAACACUUCAGGUAGCCUGUAGAAAUUUGAUAUAACUAGGGUAAACUGCCUAUAAACUGCUUUUCUUGUGAACUGCUUAGAGGUUUAAUUACAAUCAAGCAGUACAUAAAUUUUGUUAAAUAAAUAAAAUCUAAGUCAUGGGCAUUAAUCUGAUUCAUCUGCAACUAAAAAUAGAAUCCUAGACUUGUGUACCCAGAAAUAAAGUCCUUCUUUCUUCAGGGGAGCUUACUUGCAGGUAAGUUGGUACAGGAUUACAGCCUAAAAUCCUUAUUUAGAAUUAAGGCUUUAUAAGUCAUGUAGAAAGCUCCCUCUAUUAUUGCUUCCUCAGGCCUCAGCCCUAAAUGAUGACUGAUUUUUGUGAGCCACUCAGAUAUUUUUUUAACUAAAGGCCAGAAUAUAAAUGCCAUAAAUAAAUAAUUUCAAUUUC